rnacentral:lncRNA from 1 species
AAUUCGUAUUCAUAGGAAUCAGAAGUAAUACCGCACGGCCAAGUCAAAAGUUGGAGCAACUGGUGGAAGUCACUCCGCUGCGCCCCAGGCUCUGCACAGCAAGAGAGGGCGGUGGUGGAAGUUAAGCUCUUGAAUCGGUUAGGGCUUGUAAGAAAAUGGAUGGGUCUCCAGGAGCGCUCAGGCUGAGCAGCUGCCGUGCCUGAGACUUUGAGCAGUCGUCUGGGAAAGAGGCACGUGAAGAGGGCUAGAAAUCGGGAUGCACUGCCGAUUUACUGCACGGGAAGCAAGAAGAGGCCAUAGGAGAGGACUGGAAAGCUGGGAGACCUCACCCGGAAGGAGUUUCACGGAGAGGGCUAAGCAGCCUGGUAACCCAACGUGUACGGGGAAACUUCUGCCAGGCCACUGGAACGGGCUGGCCAUGGGCCUCAGCUAAAAAUGAGCCGGGAAAUCUCCUUGGGAGGAUUUGUGGCAUCUCAGAGGUGGUCCGAAGAGAAGGUCCCGAGUAUAUUAGCGACUGGAAUAGAAUUUGUUCUGCAGUAGUUUCCUGAGACGAGUAGAUGAAGUAACAGCAAUUCCAUUUCGGGCCGACCUGCACGGUCUGAGCUGGAGAAUGCAGCUUUCAGGUGAUGAGGUUAGAGAAGGAGGUGACUGAGACCGGAGGAACCACUUGGACUGUGAGAUCUCAGGACUGCAUCUUGUUUCCUGAACGCGAGCUCAAGUUUUGUGCAGAAUUGGUAAAGAUUCUAAAUCAUGUCAAGUCAUACUUCGAAAAAAGAAAAACGAUUUCUUUUUACCUCGGAAUCUGUUGCUGAAGGACAUUCUGGUAAGUCAAAAUCCUAACCAAGUCUUUCUUUUUAUUAAGAACUUGUACUGAAGAAUGCUGUAUGACAAAAGUUAAGUGAUUUCUACCCUAAUGGAGAAAAGGAAGGGGCCAUCAAUUAUUUUGGUUAGACCUCAGAUUAAUUUCUUUGUGCACUUUAAAAGAAUUUAUUUACUUAGUAUGCAAUAUAAUCAGGGAUCAUAUUUCAAUUUUAAACUUUUACUUGAGAAGAAGAAGCAUGGGGAGGUGCUCUACAGGUAGACUUGGAGUUUCUGCAUAUGCUGGACAUUGAUUUCCUUUGUAAUUCUGUAAUGAAAAAAACGAUGGCCAUGUCUGUAAUAGGUGAUCAUUAAUUCUGAGCCGCUGAAAUGUUUGGAAUAUUAAGCAUUAAUUUUCAUCAGAGCUGCCUUACAGGUUAUGCUGUAAUAUUAAAUGUGUCUCUUUUGCCAUGUUGCUCACCUUAAGACAAGUUCAUAUAUGCUUCAGCCUGUACAAAAUCCAUAUACUUUCUAGGUCUGGGAAUGAAGGACAGUGUCUCAGCUCUACCUGCUGCUCAUUAAAAGCAGCUUUUUUCACACAGAUUUUUUAGAUAAAUACCUAUCUACAAGCUUUGUUAACUGAUGGAUGUGAGGAAGUUUGGACCUCCAGAAGGGAUCCUAUGUCUGAAAUUUGCUAUAGAGAUAGCAACAGGUCCUAUUGUUAUAACCUUUAAAUGACAUAUAUUUUAAUGUUAAGACUAAAAAUAACAUUGACUGUCUCCUUUUCUGAAACGGAAUGAAAGACAAAAAGCCUAAUAGUGGGGAAAUCAGGGUGAUGCCACACACUGAAGGUUUGCAGCUGCACUUUUUUUCUGUGCAUUUAUCUUCUCAGUGUUCCUAUUCAUUAGGUGAGACUGGCAUAGUUUGAGACAAAUUACAUUACUGUCAGGUCUGUCUGCCCAGCCCCUCAUAAGCAGUGCAACAGCUGCAAAACCACCGCAGCAUGUAGCGUUGUAUCUUGAACUGCCACCAACACUUGUUUGCUUUAUAACACUGUGCUGUAUGUUGCAAUGGGGCAAAUAGCUGAAGGUAAUAAAACCUAUCAGUUGUUCCA